rnacentral:rRNA from 1 species
GUUUGAUCCUGGCUCAGGACGAACGCUGGCGGCGUGCUUAACACAUGCAAGUCGAACGGAAAGGCCCUGCUUGCAGGGUACUCGAGUGGCGAACGGGUGAGUAACACGUGGGUGAUCUGCCCUGCACUUCGGGAUAAGCUUGGGAAACUGGGUCUAAUACCGGAUAGGAACCAUCUUUAGUGUGGUGGUUGGAAAGUUUUUUCGGUGUAGGAUGAGCUCGCGGCCUAUCAGCUUGUUGGUGGGGUAAUGGCCUACCAAGGCGGCGACGGGUAGCCGGCCUGAGAGGGUGUACGGCCACAUUGGGACUGAGAUACGGCCCAGACUCCUACGGGAGGCAGCAGUGGGGAAUAUUGCACAAUGGGCGCAAGCCUGAUGCAGCGACGCCGCGUGGGGGAUGAAGGCCUUCGGGUUGUAAACUCCUUUCGCUAGGGACGAAGCUUUUUGUGACGGUACCUAGAUAAGAAGCACCGGCUAACUACGUGCCAGCAGCCGCGGUAAUACGUAGGGUGCGAGCGUUGUCCGGAAUUACUGGGCGUAAAGGGCUCGUAGGUGGUUUGUCGCGUCGUCUGUGAAAUUCUGGGGCUUAACUCCGGGCGUGCAGGCGAUACGGGCAUAACUUGAGUGCUGUAGGGGUAACUGGAAUUCCUGGUGUAGCGGUGAAAUGCGCAGAUAUCAGGAGGAACACCGAUGGCGAAGGCAGGUUACUGGGCAGUUACCGACGC